AAGCGGAAAAGACUACUAGGAGGAAGUGCUUUCGACCGGCUUACCCUAUUUCCCCUUCCUUAUACCUGCUACAUUUUCUCUUCUAUUCUAUUAUAUAUCUCCAUUUUCUCAUAUCUAUUACUCUCAUAUCCAUUACUUCUAUUCUAUUAUAUAUCUCCAUUUUCUCAUAUCUAUUACUCUCAACUUAUUCUAUUAUUUAUAUUAUAUUAUAUGAUAUUAUAUGAUAUAGUGGGAUCUUACUGUUUGCCUACCGGAAGCAGCCUUUUUCGCAUAAUUCUUUCCUAAUGUGUGCACGGGGCUCUACUCUACUACGUCAUAUCUGGCUCUAAAUCAAUCCCCCUUUGGAUUUGCUUUCUUUCGCGAACGAAUCCAUCUUCUUAUAUGUGAAUGUCACUAUCAGAUCGUGAUUGGGAUCGUAGCGACGAGCAGGACAACUAUGCCCUGUAUAAACGAGUGUUCGCCCGAAACAAGCUAGCAAAGCAGCUUCCUUCACAUGCCCGCUUAUGCACGAGACGAGGAAUUCCACAUUAGUUUGUUAUAGAAUAGAUGUUUGAUUCUCAAAGGAAAAGGCCGGUACCAACUCAUUUCUCUUUUCUCAUUUAGAAGUCUUUUCUCAUUACAAAGUAUUUUCUCUUUGAUCAUUAUAAAGAAGUCUUUUCUCAUUUCAUUGAAAAGUAUCAUUUUAUGCUUAGUCAACUAAUAGAAUCCGACCCCAUCUCCCACUCCAGGUUCUAUCCAACCAGGAAAUGAAUAGCUGACUUCCGCAGGCAUAGAGACGAUAGGCUUUCUAUCCAGUACUAUGUCCACCUCCAAUAGGCGCUUUCUCUCCAGUACUAUGUCCACCUCCCGGUUCUUCAUACUUUCUUAAUCCAUACUUUCUCUUUAUUCAUCCAUAACCAAAUUCCGGGUUCUUUGUGAGCCCACUCAAUCUUUUCACCGAUGUUUCGUACUCUCUCGAAUCAACUUCUCAUUCCAUAUUUCUUCAAGAGGAAAGUCUCACUGAAUGAAUAUCCAUCAAUUAUAUUAGUUUCAUAUGAAUCUUCAGUAGUAUAUUAAUUAAGAAAGCCAAGGUGGAGGCAUCUUCUGUCGCCCAUGAUCACCGUGGAGCUCUCCUGGCGGCUAGGAGUUUCAGUUUCACAUCCUUUAUUAACCCCAAACAAAGUCCAAGUCUUAUUAUACAAGGCUAGCUACAUUAGGCUAGCUAGCUACAUAAGAUUGAAAGCGCUCAGUUUAAGGGUAGUCCACAAUCUU